rnacentral:rRNA from 1 species
CCCUUAGAUGUCCUGGGCCGCACGCGCGCUACACUGAUGCAUGCAACGAGUUUAUAACCUUGGCCUGAAAGGUCUGGGUAAUCUUUUGAACGUGCAUCGUGAUAGGGAUAGAUUAUUGCAAUUGUUAAUCUUGAACGAGUAAUUCCUAGUAAACGCGAGUCAUCAGCUCGCAUCGAUUACGUCCCUGCCCUUUGUACACACCGCCCGUCGCACCUACCGAUUGAAUGGUUCGGUGAAGAUCUCGGACUUCGAUAUUUAUUCUUUAUUGAGUUUAUAUUGUGGGAAGUUAUCUAAACCUCAUCAUUUAGAGGAAGGUGAAGUCGUAACA